UAUGUCUAUAAAUAGUCUACAAUGUCUAAACAGACGAUUGUCUUCCAAGAAAAGCAGAAAAGAAAAUACGAAGUCCGGCGGCGGUGAAAAUGAAGCACUCACGCCUGCUUUCCUCCGUUCUUCUAGCCAUCCUCUUCUUGGUUUACGUCGCCGGGACAACAACCGCACAAUGUCCGCUCAACAACACCGAAUAUACCUAUUUAUAUGUUCCUAUGAGUCCGCACUGCGACUUGACGCAAUGCAUUGGACUCUGCACAAGUUACGGCGGAGCUGAUACUGGCUUUUGCGUCCAGCCAGAUUGUUGCUGCAAAAAAGCUAAUCAUAGCUCCAAGAAGAAGGUGGCCGAGCAUGUCCCGACCGCAAAUUAAGACGAACAUUCAUCAAGGAAAGCCGGGAAAUUAUUAUGUCACCAGACAGAUGAGAAAGAAAAGAGUUUCUAUGUAGUGGUAUACUGCUUCUUCUUAGAAUUAAUAAAUAUUGAACUCG